GAAAAUAUUCUCAUGUCCUUCAAACGAGGUAUACAACAUAUCUUUAUCUUUACUAUAUUAUUAUGGAUAUUGCCACUUCUUGAAAAUUAAGAGGUACAACUAUCUAUUUGGACAUAAUAUAAUCAUAUUAAGCUUACAAUCUACAAUCGUAUACGCUAUUAACUCCGAGGAUGUUGAAAACCCUAAUUUCCUCUGCACGCUACCAAUUGCCGCCAAACAACAUCUCUUCUGUCUCCCUCUUUGCUCUCUACAGUAUCCGACAACCCUCUGUUACCACCAACUUCUUGACGCCGUGGGCCGUGUGUAAUUUUUUUGUCUAGGCUUUUUACAAGACCUCCUCAUUUGAAUUCCCUGCAAUAUUAUCCUAUGAUAACUGGUAAAUUGAAAUUCCUGUUCAUCCCUAUCUCCCUUAAUGGCUUAUGCCAUGCCAUUAUGCUGAACUAUUCUCCACUUAUUGAUUUUUUGGGAUCUUGAAUGGCAUCUUCUCCAUCACCAAAACCAGAACCUGUUUGGGCAAGAAGAGGCCUUUUUUUUAUUCCAUUGAUGACUUUGUUUUGUUUCCAUAUGUGAAGAGGUCUGUUAGGGUUUUUUUUGUCGACGUGAUUUAUGAUGUUAUUUUUAUAUUUCAGAUUCAUAUUCUCAAUCAUUAAUCUGAACUUGAACCCGAAACAUCUUCUAUCCUCUCUAUCAAUAUUUUGUUUUCUUUGUUUACUGUAGCUAUCGAAUUCUAUCCAUGUGCCUAGAAGGUGUUUGUAGAAACACCUCAAUGAAGUCAAGAAUAUAUAUAAGUUUUGUCAUUAUCACUUGUAACACCUAGAAUGUUUUCUGAGAUCUUGAGGUUUCUCACACAACAACUCUUUUUCUUCCUAUGAAUCCUUAUUUUGAAAGAAAUAUGUUUUAUGCACUCAAAGUAUUUUGCAUUUUUUGGUUUACCUUAUUGUUUCAGUUUUAGGGCAUUUUGAUUCAGUUGGAAGACAUACAUGGAGGAGAUGAAGAGAAAGGUGGAGUUUGACAUCACAUUAAUGAAUUAGAUUGACAUCCUAAGUUUAUGUAUUUCUCGAGCUUUGGUAUUCAUUGCAAGAAACAUAUUUGGAUUUUGUAAUGGAGUAUAAGUUUGCAAGUGGAAGUUCACAUCAUGCAUGUUGGAGAUGGUUUGUUACAUAAGCUCGGAUAGGUAAAAGUUGGAUUAUGCUUCUUAAUAAGCUUCUCGUAUAAUUUAUUGGAUUGAUUCAUAUGAUUAUGUGAUGCUUGGCUUAUGACAGUGGAAAAGUUCACUCUGUUACAACACAAGGCUUUCAUAUUUUGUUUUGUUUAAUAUAUCAUCAUACUCAUUUUUUUUUCUAUUUAUAAACUAAGUAAUCUUUAUAGGAAAUUGGAGAUUUUUUUAUAGCCGCAUGUCUCUAAUAUUAUUUAAUAUUUACGGGAAGUUGGAUGUGUGGGUGUGAUGGGCGAUUAUCUCAUUGCUUUGAUAAAAUUAUGGUAAAGUAUUUUCAUUUUUUCUUAAUAUUCUCCUGUAGCAUUAUUUCAUUUUAUUAAAUCAUUGACCUUUUAAAUUUUUUAUUAAACAAAGAUCAAAUCUCAUUAGUGAAGGUUCUGUUCUCAUGAAAAUAUUUGAGCUUUUGCAGGCAUGAAUCCAAGGAACACAUUAUUGAAGGCACAAAGAAUAGUAGUUUCAUCACAAUUUCAUAUGAUGAGGUAUUACAGUUUGAUCCCAUAAACAGGGUCUGAUCCUCCAUUUUUAAUGAAGUUUGUGCAUUUUUUGUGACUUCACCUAAUUUUGUGUCUAAAGCAAAUUAUUUAGUUGAGACUUAAACUCAUAAAUCAUAACAAUAAGCUUUUUUUACAACCUGACCAUUCUGGAUCAAAAGUUGUAUCAUUCACAUGAUGUCGUAAUUAUUAGGAGUGAAAAUAAUGCUGUAAUUAUUGGGAUGUUCAGCUGUAAUAAUAAGUCUAAAGGGUAUAAUGGUCCAAUUUUUGUUGUUCUUAAAAGUUUCAAGGCUUUUUAUGGUUUUAUGCUUCAAGGUUGGUUUUAUUGGAAUAAAAAAAGAGGAAAAAAUGAGUAGAAAAAAGGGGUUUAUUAAAGGGGCUCAGCUAUUCCAAUACAAAAAAUUUCAAGCAAGGGUAUUUUGGUCUUUGUUUGUUGUUUCGAUUUUUUUUAAAGGUAACAGGUUUGGUUUUAUUUGCUGGAAACAUAAAGAUUAUGUUUGUUUUGAGAUGUUGGGGAUUAGAUUAAAUGGAAUAAAUUAACUUGGAGCGAAGUUGAUUUCAGUAAAGGGUAUUUUUGUCCUUUUCAGAAAUUAAGCAGGAAGUUUUGUUUUUUUUUUCCAAAAUUGCAUCUAAAAUAAAUUUACUUGCUUUGUUUGAUUAAGUCAUAAUCAUCAAAAAGGCUUCUUGUUGUUUCUCAUGCGAUGCACCAUAAAAAAAAAAUUAUUAUUAUUGAUGCAUCAAAGAUUUAAUUACUAUUUGGAAUUUAAGAAAAGAAGAUUGGACUUGGGAUGUUUUGGGGUUUCAUGCAUAUAGUGGGCCUUUUUGGAGUAGAUAUGAACUUGUUUUUUGGAACUAUGGUAUAUAUUGGAUUUAUUAUCAUAUAUUUCUCAAAAUUGGUUUUAAAACAAAAAUCAACGGAUUUUAUAAUCUUUUCGGUUAAAAUCCGAACCGUUUAGUUGUUCAAUUUUAUAACUAUCCACAAAAAAGAUAAAUAAAAUAAAAGUCUCAAAAAAUCGAAUCGAAGAAAUAUAUUUUUUCGGUUCAAGCUUGAAUUUAUUAGAUGGUUGGUUUUAUGUUUUUAUCCCAAAAUUAUAAUAAUAUGGUGUUGAAUAUUUUUAUUCGGGUUAAUCUCUUUAAUAUUGUGAAUAAAUUGUAUGAUAU
rnacentral:lncRNA from 1 species